AAAAUGAAUAUUAGCAAUGAAUAUCUCGUCUCUCACAUCGAUGAAGAACGUAGCGAAAUGCGAUACUUGGUGUGAAUUGCAGAAUCCUGUGAACUAUCAUGUCUUUGAACGCAAGUUACGUCUGAAGCCAUUAGGCCGAGAACACGUCUACCUGGGCAUCACACAU
rnacentral:rRNA from 1 species